rnacentral:tRNA from 1 species
GCCUGUCUGGCUCAGUCAGUAGAGCAUGCAGUUCUUGAUUUCAAGGUCGUGAGUUCGAGCCCCACGUUGGGCA